GACGAACGCUGGCGGCGUGCUUAACACAUGCAAGUCGAACGGAAAGGCCCUGCUUUUGUGGGGUGCUCGAGUGGCGAACGGGUGAGUAACACGUGAGUAACCUGCCCUUGACUUUGGGAUAACUUCAGGAAACUGGGGCUAAUACCGGAUAGGAGCUCCUGCUGCAUGGAGGGGGUUGGAACGUUUCGGCGGUUGGGGAUGGACUCGCGGCUUAUCAGCUUGUUGGUGGGGUAGUGGCUUACCAAGGCUUUGACGGGUAGCCGGCCUGGGAGGGUGACCGGCCACAUUGGGACUGAGAUACGGCGCAGACUCGUAUGGGAGGCAGCAGGGGGGAAUAUUGCACAGUGGGCGGAAGCCUGAGGCAGCAACGCCGCGUGCGGGAAGACGGCCUGCGGGUUGUAAACCGCUUCCGCCUGUGACGAAGCGUGAGUGACGGUAAUGGGUAAAGAAGCACCGGCUAACUACGUG
rnacentral:rRNA from 1 species